rnacentral:rRNA from 2 species
GACGAACCGUGCGAACGUUAUUCGGAAUCACUGGGCUUAAAGGGAGCGUAGGCGGGCUAUCAAGUCUGGGGUGAAAUCCCACGGCUCAACCGUGGAACUGCCUUAGAUACUGACGGCCUCGAGGGAGAUAGGGGCAUGCGGAACUGUAGGUGGAGCGGUGAAAUGCGUUGAUAUCUACAGGAACUCCGGUGGCGAAAGCGGCGUGCUGGAUCUCUUCUGACGCUGAGGCUCGAAAGCUAGGGGAGCAAACGGG